UGAGAAUUACAUAUUUGUUGGCUGCCUUGUUCAUAGUUUUUUUUUUUACAAUCAUGGAGAUUUGAAGGCAACCCUAAUAUCAUUAAAUCACACAGCAAGGAUAUUACCUGGAACACAUCACACAACAGACCUAUUAGUAAGGGACGAAAUAUCCUCAUCAUUAAGCACCAUGACUUUUAUUUUUGGUGUCUGUUUG